rnacentral:rRNA from 1 species
AUGGAAGCAGACAAGCAGUCGUGGUCAGACCUCCCGCUGGAACUGGCCGGCCUGGUGCUCAGCCUGCUCCCGGCGUACGCCGACCGUGCCCGCUUCGCCGCAGUGUGCCCCCAGUGGCGUGCGGCUGCGAGGCAGCUCCAGCCCCCGCCACUGCCGCUGAUCGCACUGCCGGAUGGCACCUUUUACAGCCUCAUGUACGACAAGCCCUUCCGCUUCCCUGACUGUGGCUUCCCAGGGUACGAGAAUGUCUGUGGCAGCUGGCUCGUCUUCUCACGUGCCCACGGGUGCUUCCUGGUAGACCCCUUCUCCAGGGCCACCGUGGCGCUCCCUGCUCUCUCCAGCGUCCGACUCCGGCCUCCAAAUGCUGUCGCUAAAUGGUCAGAGUACGGAGGUCCAAAGUUUGCUGACCCCUACAUCACAUGGAUGCAUAUCAAUGACUCAGAGGAGCUGCGCAUAAGUAAGCUAAUCAUGUGCUCACCACAUCUCGUUGCUGCACUUGUUGGCAUUGGUCACACCAGUCAGAUUCUAAUGUGCCAGCCAGGGGCCUUGUCGUGGUCAGUACGCGCUUACGACCAGUGCAAGGAUUUUGAAGACAUGUCGUUCUACCAGGGCAAGCUGUAUGCCAUUGCCAAGGACGAGAACCUCCUUGUGGUGAACAUCAGCGAAGACCAUAGCACCGGCGAUCCACAGGUUUCUUGGAUUGGACAGGUCAUCAGGGGUGAUUCUCCUCCAUGGUAUUCAUGUGUGUUUGACGACAACAGUAUGCCCUUAAAGAAGCUCUACCUGGUUGAAUCGCGUGGGAUGUUGCUGAUGGUACGCAGGACGAUUUGGUGUCAGUUUCCUGAACCUGGAGAAGGCAAUGAAGUUAUUGCUGGAAAGAACGAGUUUGAGGUUUUCCAGGCUGACUUUGAGCGUUCACGGUGGGUCAAGGUGUCGACCGUGGGGGAUGACCAAGUGCUGUUUGUGGGGCGAAAGUGCUCGAGGUCCAUGUCCGUGUCGCAGUACGGGUUGCCGGGCGAUCGCAUCUUCUUCUUGGAUGAUGAUGAGGAUAAUCGCAUAGAGUAUGCCUAUGAGGAGGAGAAUACUUCUUUCGGCGUCUAUUCCAUGAGAUCCCGCAGCAUCCGUUCCGGUGAUCCAAAUAUUUCCUGGAAGCGCUGCGCUGAGAUGUAUCUGGCAGCAUGGCUCUUCCCUCAGGACCGCUGA